rnacentral:lncRNA from 1 species
UAGGACUCCAGGUGCAAUACUGAACCAAACCCGAAAGGCCCUGCUGUGCGUGAGUUUGGUUGCUGUCUCUGCCACUUCCUAGUGAGGCAGCCUUGAGCAAGCUCCUAAACCACUCAGAGCUUUGUUUUCUUCCUCAGGGACACAGGGAAUGUCACACUAAUUCUCAGCAUAAAUGUGAGCAUCAGAGUUUGUGCAUAUAAGAUCUUCGUCCUAAGUCUGACACCUUGUACCAACUCUAAUACACUAACCACUGGCUUUUUUUGGGGAAAGAACGGUAGGCAAGACACGGCUUGGAGGGCAGUGGUCCAAGGGGGACGGUGUCUGGUGUCCCAAGUUUGUGCCCUGUUUAUAAAUGCCCAGGGCCCAGCCCCGCACGGAGGAAACAAUUGAAAAAAAAAAAAAAAAAAGAAACCCUCAAGUCGGCAGCAUCCUCUUCCAGCUGCAGGCUCACAGCUCCAGGGGGGACCCAGCUCUCCUUCCUCCCUUGUUAUUUAAAGUCGAAGGGGUGUGUAAAUCAACCAAAAUAAUUCACGCGAAUCAUUAGCGACUCCAAGGUGGCAUCUUUUGACCAGCAGCAUUAAAUUAAAAACAGAACAAAACUGCGGCUUCUAAAAACACAUCGGCUCUGUUUCCUCCCUCCGGCCUGCUGUAAUCGAAAGCUGCUGGGAUCUAAUGAAAUGGAAUUAGCAUCUCCAAUCCCUCUCUGGCUACUGCUUACAUAAAAACAUCUCUCUGGAUGGAGAGCUGAAGGGAGAUGUCAGAAUUGCAAGGGAGUCCCACCCUUCUCUGCCGGCCCCCUCGCUCUGUGGCGCCCACCUGUCCAGUGCCGCCCGAGCUGCAGCGACCAUGUUGCAGAGGGGUCCGAAAGGAGUGGUCGGUUCUGUUUGUUCAUCUCUCGUUUCUGCCUCUGCAGAGACCCGGCCCAGCUCAGCAGUGCUCACACCAGCUCCUUCACGGUUUCCUGUGACAACUGCACAUCAAGACUGUCUCCCUCUAACCCCAUUUCAGAAAGACAACGAGGAGGGAGCAGCUAGAGGGGUGGAAAUGGGAUCACGUGACCUUGCGAGAAGCAGGGAGAGAGAACACUGCGUCUGCUCCCUUUUAGAACAGCUCAAUAUAGGGAAUCCCUAACAGAGGACUUCCAGGAUAUCCUAGGGACAGCAGAGCCUCAAGAUCCAGGGAGGAUCCUGGAUACCUGAGUCACCACUUGGAGGGGAAUCUCCUGGAAGAACUGAUUGAUCAGCAACAUCUACAUUCAACUUGAGGUUGUUCCGUAAGACAGGAUGGCACAGAGCUUUAAGCAACAGCUCUGGCAUCUGACUUCCGUGUUUGCAUCUGGCUUUGAGUGUGACUUUGGACAAGUUCCUUAGCUGGCCAGAUACUCUUGUCCUCAUCCAUAAGAUGGAGCAACAACGAAGCCUUUCUCAUAGGUUAUUGUGAGGAUUGAAUGAAUUAGUAUAUGCCAAGCAUUUGAAGCAGUGCCUGACAUGUAGUAGAUGCUGAGUAACACUGGGGAUCUGCCUUUUCUUUUUCCUCUAUGUGACUGGCAGCCUUAGCCAGACCACAUCAGCUGAGAUGAUUUUCUCUGUAAGUUACCAGGAUCACCUAGAUCUGGCCAAGGACUUGCCCCUGUAAGGAAAUUUGGAAUAAGCAAAAAAGAUCACUAGGUGUCGCCGAUGGAAAACUAGGUUGUUUUGAGCAUACCUUUGCAUGUUAUCUGAUUUUAGCCUUUCAGGGUCUUUGAGCUAUUUUAUGGCUCUGUAGGUUGUACAUAACUGAUAGCAAUGCAAAAUAAUUCUUGUCUAUAGACAUGCAAAUAAAUCCUGUCCAGCGGUUCAAUUGACUACCCUCUUCCCUAAGGAAAAAGCCAGUUUCAGUCUAUUUGUAAAUUCAUUUCCACUUUCCUUACUCCCUAUAAAUUUCUGCUUUUCAGAUUUCUCCUUUGUUAACGUCUGCCUGGUUCCCUCAUUAAGUCAAAUAAAAUCUUUAACACGUUAAAGUAUGAGAGUCAUGAUCUCACCUGUUUUAGGAAAAUUAUCUUUUAAUACUUCUGAUAGGAAAGUUUCCUAAGCAGACCAAAAAGUAGGUACCACGGUCCCGUCUCCUAGUGGUGUGACCUUGAUCCAGCUAUUUUUCUAUCCUGGUCUCAGUUUUCACAUCUAUGAAAUGGGAGUAACAUUAUACACCUAAGAGUACGCCUGAGUAUUUCUAAGAACUAUAUGGAAAGCAUCCAGCCUCCACCUGGGCACAGAGAAGCUGCUUAAGGAAAAGGAGCUGGCAUUGUUGCAGGGAUGGUGAUGUUUAAUCCUGGUUAUUGGUAACUCAGUCAGCAGAGGUAGCAUAGGUGUCGAAACAUAGGGAGAAGGACAACAGACAGGAUGUGCUUUCUAAGGCUAACAUGGAUGGGAACAGAGAGGAGAGGAGACCUUCCUGGGCCGAGCUGCCUGUCACCUACCCGUGCACUCAGCACCUCUGCAGCUGUCACUGGACACAUCCAACCCAGAGUGCAAUUGACAUGGGAAAAAACUGCACAUGUAGACGUUUCAGUGUGGUGAGAGUAUGUUGGCAUGGAGAUGGCUGCGUCUGCCCUCGUCAGGAUGAAGGAGGGGACGGUCAGUGAGGUGCCAGGAAAAGAAGAGAAGUGCAAAUCUGGGUGUGUCGGCUUGUUUCCCGGGGAGGUGUUGCUUUGCCCUGGGCAGAUGUGAUCAUCUGGCUCUUUGUUCAGCAUCUUCUGUGCUGCAACUCUUAGCUAGUCCCUAGAUUAUUCAUCAGCCAUGCAACCACUUGGUUAGCUUGAGUCUGUUCCCUCCACCUGGAGAAACCUUGGUGCACUCAUAAAAUGGGGUCUGCCCUGCUCAAAGGAAGAGCAGGCUGUGUGCUGGUUGUCAAAUCAGGAAUGUAACUGCUUUGAGGCAGCAGUAAAGUGCUAGACCAGCCUUCUAGAUCUAAUACAUAGUCCAGCAAAUUUUAUCUCUAACUGUUCCUAGUUUUCACUCUCCCUGGCUUUGACCUGAGAAAGAGAGCAAUCGUUUGAAAAGUAUUAAUGAGACUUUUCCCUUUGUUUCUUAG